rnacentral:lncRNA from 1 species
CUGCUGCUAUGUGAAGAUGGUUUUUGCUUCCCUUUCUUCUUCUGCCAUGAUUGUAAAUUUCCUGAGGUCUCCCAAGCCAUGCAAAACAACACUAUAGCUGGUAAUACGCUGGGUUACACCUGAAGCCAGCAAGUCUCUGAGUUUCACCCAAGGCCUGAAGAGGGUACUGCCUGGCUACCACUCCUGAAUUUUCAGGACUCAAGGACUCUUUAGUCAGCAGGUUCUGCCAGGACUUGGUCUUUCCUUUCAAAUCAACAGGUUCCCAUCUGGCCCAGGCUGUGUCUAGAAAUGUCAUCUGGGAUCUAAGGCCUGAAAUGGGCGUGUCAGAACUCUUCCUGGUGCACUCCUUUAUUGUGACUAACCUGGUAUCCAGGGUGCAAGACAAAGUCCUCUUUACUCUCCUCUCCCCUCCCCUCUCCUCAAGAAGAAGAAAAGAAUCUCUCCUGGAACUGCAAGCUGAACUUCCUGGGGUUCUGGGAAGGGUGACACAAACACUUCCUUGGCCACCCUGGUUGGUGUCUCACCGGGUCACAUGUGCUCCAAGUCCAUUGGUUCUGAGCUCAGCACAGCACCAGGAAUUGCCUAGGAAUUACAGUCCUGGUGAUCUAAAGUGCCUCGCAAGUGUAUUUAGAACCCCAGAGCACUUAAACCUGCUAGAGUGGCAGGGCUUGCUGAAACUCAGUUUCUGACUGCUGGAAUGGACAAUUCACCUCUGGCUAGAGCUUAUCUAGAUGCUCCCUUGGAGGACACAAGCUGGGUUGUUCCCAGUGUUGCUUUCUGCUGUGAUAAGGUAGCACUGAUUUCCAAUGUGAAGUCCCACAAUCACUACAUUCUCUCUCCCCAAAAUGCACAGGUUCUUUCUCCGUGACCCACGACCACUGCUAGGGGAUGGGUAACCUGUGGUGUAAGCAAUUCAAGACUACCUUCUUCAGUGCAUGUUUCCUUAAUAUGAUGUUAAUAUCAAGUACUGUGAUAGCUCACCUGAGUUUCACUUCUUAUAAUGGUGCUUUUGUUGUACGGAUAGUUGUUCAAUUUUGUUUUCCUGUUGGGAAGGAUGACUUUCGGUGCUUCUCUUCUGCCAGACCUUUGGUGUAGGCAAUUCAAGACUGUUUUUUUCUACCCUCUUCAGUGACCU